ensembl:lncRNA LINC01322 long intergenic non-protein coding RNA 1322
GCUGGAGAGAAUGAGCUUGGAGCCGCAGGGCUUAAUCCCGCGCGGCUCAGAGAUGGGUUUCUGGACUCGCGAAGCAGCUGCAACAAGGCAUCACUCACUGUAUAAGUAUUUCCAUUUCUGAGAGCAAAAGGAAGAACUUAAGCGGGCGGCACUUGGAGUGUAAAUUGCUUUGUAGUAUUUAAAGGCAGAAUGGAUCCUGGGCAGCCGAGCUGCAACAAACCGGCAGGACUUCCUGUGAAAUCAUGACCACCAUGUGCUCUUUCAGCCUCUAUCAGUUCCUACCUCUAAGCACCUGAGAGCCAAAGCAAACCACAGGAAACCACAGGUACUAACUCUUUUAGACCUGAUGAAGUGUCUCCCAAAUACAGUCUGGCAUGACUCAAACUAAACGUCAGCUUUUCCCGGCUCUCAAGCCUGCUGGUCCCUGAACUAAAACUCACAUUAUCAACUCUACUGGUUCUUAGGCCUUUGGAGUCAGACUGGAACUACAGCAUUGACUCUUCCGGAACUCCAGCUUACUGACUACAGAUCUUGGAACUUUUCAGCUUCCACAACCAUAAUGAAAGCCAAGCAUAUUCCAUCAUUUCCUAAAACCAAGAUAGAGCACAUAUGGGAACUUGUGAAAUAAGGAUGCCCUGCGGUUGUUUUCAGGACUGAAGACAACAGCUCCACGAUGUAUCUUUGCAUAAGAAUACACUUGUAUAAUAAGUUUUUUUUUUUAGAGAAAUUGCAUGUAUCUGCCUUAUAAACUUUUUCAUUCAUUCAUUUUCUUUCUUCCUAAUCUGUUCCAUAAAGCAAAUUUCUAACUUAUUGUUAAUCAAAAUAAUUAUUGAAAUAAUUAGUACUUUCAUAUGAUAAAGAUUAUUUUAAUCUGCAGCUACAAAAUAUGUAACUCAUUAAUAUUUAAACAAUCACAAUUUUCUAUUAACAUUAUAGCAUUUUAUCUACUACUAGAUCAGGAAUUAGCUAUUUUUUGUAAAAUUUCUUUGUAAGGCAAAGCAAUAGUAUUGUAUAUACUUUCCUAAAGAUUGUCAAGUUCAGUUUUGCUUAAAUUUAACAGUACAUGUGACACUUUCUGUUUGAAGAAUAAGUUGGUUUUAAGUUUAUACCAAACAAAAGCAUCUCUUUUGUUUUGCAAAAUCUGAAACUUUGAUCUUUCUAGUUGUGACUUCUUGUAAAUAUGUUUUAUAUAAAUAUUCUAUGAAUUGGUUAUUAACAAGGUAAAGAAAGAUUGAUAUGUAAGCUGAUUCUUAAACAUUAAUUUUCUGGAGAUAAACUUUUUUAAAAUUAUGCUUUAAAAAUAUUUUAACACAUGUUAUCAAAAAGGAACUGAAAUAUCUUAGGCAUAAAAGACAUCUCUAGAGGUCAUUAUUCAGUUUCCAGAAAGUACUGAAACUAUCUCUGACAGAUUGAUACGUUUUCUGCAUUUAUAGCUCUCUGGAGAGAGGUUCUGUAUAUUUAACAAUUCUCACUGUGAGGGAUAUUUUAAGUAUUUCAAAUUUAAAGUGCUCAUGUUUCAGAUUCAGAUUAUUAUUAUCAUCAUCAUUAUUUUGGUUCUGGCUUCAGUAAAAAUGUGAAAAACACUUUUCCAUCUUCUGAUAAUAUUUCAUAUUUAUAAAAUUAUUAUUAAGUUAUAACUCAGCUUUUUCAUUUAUGCUUUAAAUCCUUUUAUUAUCUCAUCACAACCAUCUUUGACUGUUUAUCAGAAAUGGUUCUCUUUUGUACAUUGACCAUUAUUUUAUAGAUCACAUUUAAGUUAAUAUAAAUCAUGCCUAUAAA